CGAACACUCUCAGGUGUGAACGACCCGGAGAGGUGGAAACGUCUGACGCGGACCUGUGAACAAGAACUGAAGCAGCUUCGACCACGAGUUCUGUUCAGCGGACAGUUUCUUCCUCGUCCUCCGACAGGACGCAGGUGUGCCUCGGCUCGGUUCCGUGUCUCGGACUCCUCAGCAUCUUCUCAUCUGUUGCUGUGAUGAAGACUUUAAUGAGGCCAUCAUGUUCUGAUCGCUCCGGAUGAUCGAUCCGCAGCAACGUCACAGUUUAUGGAUCCGCUCCGAAGUUUGCGGGUCGACGUGUCUCGGGUAGCAGCAUCACCGGCCGAACACGUCGCCUCCCCGGCAGGUUCGGAGUUGAGAGGGAUCACAUUAAGAUUGAUGUGUCGGCUCGGCUCGGCUCGGCUCGGCGCUCUCCACUGGUUCCGACUGAGAGUAAACAGGAUUAUCUAACGGUGCCCUCCUGAAACCUGCUGCUGUGUUCUCAUCUGUGUUUGACAGCCGGACCCUCCUCCUCCUCCUCCUCCUCCUCCUCCUCCUCUUUUCACCCUCCUCCUCCUCCAGCUCGCUCUUCUGCACUGUAAAAAACACGACAUUAAAGCAACUGGACUCAGAAUGAGGUGGGAAAACUACUCAGAUCUGCUAUUUAGCCCAACUAAAUGUAGCAUGUAGCAUGUAGCAUCACCACUGUGAAUGCUAACAUGUCUAAUGCUAAGUAAAAAUCAUUCAAAAUGGUUGAAUAAUAAACUUUAUGAACACGCUCUGAUAAUAUUUAGCUUUAUUAGAGUUUUAUAUUAGCCUUCAGUAGCAUUCAGUAACCACUGUUGAUUAGUUUAAUUUCUUACAACAUUUCUUACAAGUGUUUUGGGCCAAAUGCUAACAUGAGCACCAAGCAUGUUAUUUCAGCAUGCUAACAUCCCCACAAUGAAAAUGCUAACAUUUUGUCAUUCAGCCCAUGUAGCCAAAGCUGCAUUUUAGCCAUUGUUGAGUAGUUUAAUCUCUUACAAGAUAGCUACAACCGAGCUAGCUGUCUGUUGGGCCAAAUGCUAACAUGAGCGCCAACGAUGUUAUUUCAGCAUGCUAACAUGCUGUUAUUUAUAAGUUAUAACAAAGUAUAAUGUUUACAUACCCACAUGAACAAUGCUAACAUGCUGUUAUUUAGUGCAUGUAGCCUUUAGUAACAUGUAGCCAAAGCUGUAUUUUAACCACUGUUGAUUAUUUUAAUCUCUUACAAGAUAGCUACCACUGAGCUAGCAGUGUGUUGGGCUAAAUGCUAACAUUAGCACCAAAGUUAUAAUUUCAGCAGCUAACAUCCCCACAAAGAACAUGCUAACAUGCUGAUGUUUAAUGUUCACAACUGUUGCUCUCCUAGUUUAGCAUGCUAGCAUAUACACCCACCAUGGAGGUACCAACACAGCUUUGUGUUCAGCAGGUACAGUAUGUUACCCAUGUUACCUUCUUAGUUUAGCAUAUUAGCAUGCUAAAAAUUACACAAUGAAAAUGCUAACAUGCUUCAUUUAGCAAUGAGAUAUUAGUGUCGUGAAAUAGAUUUAUAAAAUAGCAUACUGGGUACCACAAAAUCAUACUUGAAUAUGGUAUUUUAGUGAAAGUACUGUGGUUACAGAGUGUGUGAGGUAAAAAAUUAAAGUGUAUUGUGAUGCUAAUAUUUUUUAUACUUUUACUGCAAUGUGAAUAACAAGCAGCCGUACACUAACAGUUACUUUGACAUUUUUCAUUUUUCAGAAUAUAUGUAUUUAAUAAACAAAAAUGACAAAUCUCCAGCAAACAUAAUAAACCUGCUGUGCCACAAACACUUCAUGUUUUUACAGUGCAGAGCUGCUCGUCUUCACUCGAUGACUCUUCAGUACAAACUGGACUCCAGUGAAAAGCUUUUGUAUAAAUGCAGCUAAAUCCUGAUUGACAAAGUUUGUACCGGCUGACAUCUAAACACAGAGAGGAUUAAUAAAAACGGACAGAAGAUAAAACACAGAUCCACAGUGUGUCGCGCACGCACGCACGCACACACACACACACACAGACACACACACUGUUAUGUCAUUCAUGAUUUGCAUUGCCGUUUUACAAGAGGCAGGUGGUUCUGUCGGUCCAGAUCUAAUAACAGAUACAUCAGUGACGGUGACAUCUUCGCUCUUGUCACGUGAACUCUGUAAAAUAAAUGUUUGGUUUGUGAAACAAC